AAGAUCAUACUUCACAGGAUCAGUUCUGUAGGAGUUGAUCUCAUUCUCCCUCCCUAACAUGGGAGUUGAUGUAACCACGACGAUGAGUAACAGUCCUCUUCUCUGAGCGUGAAGAACGACAUGAAUUCUCGGCACGUUCGAGAGCUCAGUCAUCAAUGAUCGUUCACUAUCUGUACCUAGUGCAGACGGGAUGGGGAAGUAGGACUUUCUGAGUGGU
rnacentral:snoRNA from 1 species